CGUACAUAUAUAAUCGUAUAUAUGUAAUCAUGUGCUAGCCUGUUGUCUUUGCCAUAUACUACUGACUUGAAACAAGUCAUGAUUUCUUCCACUUUCAGGAGGGGAGCACACAGGAACAUGAGCACCAGGAUACAGGGAUCGUGGGGAGCACCCUGAGUUUGUCCACCUCAAUAGGCAAAACUCCACUGACAGAGGUGUCACUGCACAUCUGUUGGAAAAAAACAGGGGGACUGGGCCGCGAUGACGUGAGCCCGGAGCUGCGUGCGCCCGUGUAGAAGGAGCCUGUCUGCCACAGCAUGGGAUGGAAGAGAGCUGAGGCGGCUGGAGAGCAAAGGGGUCCUGGCCAAAUCGAUGCGGUUCCUGAAUCCAGUCAACCUGAAGGCGGGCACCACGGCUUUCUCGCAACGCCGUGAGGUUCAGAAGACCUCUCACGACCGCAUGUCUUGGCCAGGAACAGCCAGUACCUGUGUGUCUCGGUGUCGGUGUCGGUCGUCCGCUCCGCGCGUCUGCCGUCUCGCUGCUCCACCUGUGAACGUUGAGGCCCCGGGGGCG